rnacentral:rRNA from 1 species
UACAGAGGGUGCGAGCGUUGUUCGGAAUUAUUGGGCGUAAAGGGCGCGUAGGCGGCCUGGCAAGUGGAAGGUGAAAUCCCUCGGCUUAACCGAGGAACUGCCCUCCAAACUGCUUGGCUUGAGACCGGGAGAGGUGAGUGGAAUUCCCAGUGUAGCGGUGAAAUGCGUAGAUAUUGGGAGGAACACCAGUGGCGAAGGCGGCUCACUGGACCGGUACUGACGCUGAGGCGCGAAAGCGUGGGGAGCAAACGGG